CCCAGGGCUUACGCCCUGGGUUGAAUUAUUGCGCCCCUUCGGGGCU
rnacentral:sRNA from 1 species